UUUUCGGAGAGUUUGAUCCUGGCUCAGAGUGAACGCUGGCGGCGUGGAUUAGGCAUGCAAGUCGAGCGAUUCUCGUAAGGGAAUAGCGGCAAACGGGUUAGUAACGCGUGAGUAACUUGCCCUUAAGUCAAACAUAGCUUCGUGAAAACGGAGGUAAUAUUUGAUAGUAUUAUGAAAGCUCAUGCUUUUAUAAUUAAAGUCGGGGACCGCAAGGCCUGACACUUAGGGAUGGGCUCGCGUCCUAUCAGCUAGUUGGUGAGGUAACGGCUCACCAAGGCUUAUGACGGGUAGCUGGUCUGAGAGGACGAUCAGCAACACUGGGACUGAG
rnacentral:ncRNA from 1 species